rnacentral:rRNA from 1 species
AUUGAACGCUGGCGGCAGGCCUAACACAUGCAAGUCGAGCGAGCGGCGGACGGGUGAGUAAUGCCUGGGAAUUGCCCAGUCGAGGGGGAUAACAGUUGGAAACGACUGCUAAUACCGCAUACGAUUGGCAUGCCCAGGUGGGAUUAGCUAGUGGGUUAGGUACUGGCUCACCAAGCCGACGACCCAUAGCUGGUCUGAGAGGAUGAUCAGCAAAACGGGAACUGAGACACGGGCCAGACUCCUACGGGAGGCAGCAGUGGGGAAUAUGGCCCAAUGGGGGAAACCCUGAUGCAGCCAUGCCGCGUGUGUGAAGAAGGCCUUCGGGUUGUAAAGCACUUUCAGCGAGGAGGCGUUACUCGCAGAAGAAGCACCGGCUAACUCCGUGCCAGAAGCCGCGGUAAUUC